GUUUUUCAUAGUUUUCCAGGAUAACUAUGGUGACGACUCCAAAUCUCUUGUUAAAUCCGUUUUCUCUUUUGGUUCGUCGUCUCGUCGCGAUUCCAGUUGCGACAAUAAGAUUCUUCAAUGAUUCAAAUUCUCUCACAAUGGACUUGGUACAUCUUUAGUCUUUAUUUACAUAUUUGUUUUACUGAUUUUUUGUAUCCUGAGCACCACAAAUUAUAAGCAGAGACACCACAAGUUGUGUUGGAUAUUUAAAGGUUGAUCUUCAAAGAUUUGAUAACAUGAAGGAGGAGGACGAAGAGAAGGCAAUGAUAGGAUUUUGGAGUGCAUUUACGUGGUUGGUGGGUAUGAAAUUGGUCACAUCUUUGCUUUCUAAAUAUGUACUUGGAAAAAUCGAGGUACUUUAUAUAUCUUUGGGGGUGGAUAUGGGACUAGCAACUCAAAGUUAAUGAAUGAUACUAUGUCAUUUUUUUUUUUCAUUUUUUAGACUUAUAACUAGGGGUUGAUCCCUAAAGUAUUACUUGAGUUAUAAGAGUAGUUCCAAUCACUAGAAUCCUGGGAGAAUUUGAUGGUUGCUACAAGAAUAGGGAAAAGUUCAGUCUUGAAGGAGUGCACACUUCCAUUUAAGAAGAGUUCCACCAUAGAUGGAGGUGGGUGCCAAUGGUGGGAUCUUUGAGGUAUAUUUUAUUUGAACUUAAUUGAAAAGGGUGGAAUAUGUUCAUACAUAUCACAUUAUAGAAAAGUAAGGUAGCAAUUAUCUUUGAACAAAUAAUGACUCUAAAAGCUUGUGAUGACAUCUAAAUGGAGGAGAGAAUGUCACCCUAGAUUGGAAUGAAGCAAGUGCUUGCUUAUUAACUGUUUGAACUUUGCAUGUCAUGUUUAAUUGGAUUAUCAUCAUUGCUAUGCCUUUUAUUGUCAUCUUUGAUGGAGAUUUAUUUGCUCCAUGUCGAUCCUAUCAGAACCAAUGGUAGUGCCUCAAUGAAUAAGAAGAUUGAUGGGGGCAUGUAAUGCAUGAGAGGUGGAUACAACCAUAUGUUUCUUUGACUAAAUCAAAAGUUUAAGCAAUUGGAAAAAUGUUAAUACCCCUUUCAAGGCCUGACAACAUUUCUCCACAUUUUUGUUUGGAGUAUUACGGUGGAUUUGAGUGCAAUCAGGAAUCAAAUAAGGAAAAGGUGUCGAAGAUCCUCGGUGUCCCAUUACAGGCUUGGAAGUUCUAACUCAAUGGAAAGUUAGGCAAACAAAGAUGAUAUACUUUAUGGUUAUAUGUUAUAUAACUUAUAUAUUGACUAACAAUCAAGAUGAUAUACUUUAUGGUUAUUAUAUGUAAUGUUUCCAAGGUCACAUGUUUAGCUUUGUAAUCUAUGCAUAUUCAUCUAAUAAUUUCCAAAGGCAAUUACUAUUUUUGGACAGGAUGCACAAGAAGGAUGGUCUGAAUCAUGCAACCCAAAAUGUAAGGAACUCAAGCGGCCAAGUAAAGGCAUUUUAUAGGUUAAGUAUGUUUUUCAAUGGACUAUAUAUUUUUUCUCAUAUUACAUCUCAAGUAUGCUUUCAUGCAUUGAUUCAUUGCACACAUUCAUCUACUGUAUGGAAUUCUCAUUCUCAUGUAAUUUUUUAAACUUCUUUUAUCUGACAUGUUAUCGCUGAUUAUGGAUGGAUUAAAAUUGUAGGAAAAGAAUAACCUUCUUUUAAAUCACUUAGAUUACUUAACAACCCAGUCUAUCCUUAGCCAAAGUUUACCUCAAACCUCUUGUACCAAACUUCUCAAUGGGAACUUAAAUUAAAAAGCAUGUUAAGACACACAUUAAACUAUAAGCAAAAAUAAAAGAAUUAAAAGAAAGUAUAGCAACAAGACUAUGCAGCCUAAUGGGAAGGUUUUUAGACACUUAAAGCCUCUAAAGCCUAACCAACUAAAAAACAUGAUGUACUAAAAAGCUUAGGUUCCAAUUAGGAGAUGAGAUCCAACAUCAAAGGUCCCCCAAGACACCUACCUAGGCCAAUUUUACAACAAACAAAUCACAACUCAAAUUAAAGAAAAAUGCAUAUACAACCAAAGUUUUAGCUAUUCCUUUCCAAGUGUUUAUCUCCUCUUCUUUUUGUCUCCUUCACAAGGCUUCAAGUCCACUUCAGGUUUACUGUUAGUGAAAAACCAACAUGGCAAGUGCACCAGUCGCACAUAACAAGUAAUAAGUAUUUUAUCGUUCUCUCACAAGGGACUUGUGCAACGCAUGACAACUCUCGCAAUUCAGACUUAAUUAGACACAAAGUUCACACAAACACAAUGAAAACUAUUUUUGUAUUUUAUGAAACAGUUGGUGUGCAACAAGAAAUUAACAUAGUGUAUUUACAAUUUCUCAAGAUUAGACUUUAACCAUUUCAUUCUCAUGCAUUCUAAAUUAUCCCAAUUCCAUAUUCAUGUUAAAAUCAAUUCAUAAGAAUACUCAAAUCCUAUUCCUAGAGACUUUGAGCCUAUGAUUACUCAUCAAGUUUCAAUUCCUUGAAUCCUCAACAAGUGAAAUCAUGCAUUAGUUUUAAGAAUCUAAGAUUACUAAUGAACCAAGUUCUAUUCCUAGAUACAAGCAUCCAUUAGGUAUUUAAUUUCAAAUCUAGAUUCUAAAGAUGUUUCCCAACACCUCAAGAAUCACAAAUCAAGCAUGGGAACAAUCCACAUCAAGCAUUAAGCAUGAAGAUCAAAUACUAACAUGAAUUGGAAAAGCAUAUAAAUUAACAACACAAUUUUACACAAGAAUUC